UCAUAUUCUCUAGUUUAUUUAGCUGUGUUUAUACUUCACCUGCAUGUGGUUAGCAAACUGCUAACAACUUGCUGUAACUUCAACUUGACAACACUGUUCACUUUCAAAUAGUUGGUCUAAAUCACAAUAUAAAUCCAACAGAAUUGUGCUUUUCUGUAUAUGAAAAUCAGUGGUGUUAUGUUUAAAAUGUUAAAAAGCUCAGCAGGAGGGCACUGUAAAUCUUGUUGCUGAAACCUUCUUGAAAAACACAUACCCACCAGGGAAUUUUUUUAUAGGUUACUUUUAUCAUUUUGUAUAAGCAGAAACACCCAUGUCAUACUGAUAAAGUAUAUAUCCAAUAUGGUAUCUUGUUUUGGAAGGCACCCUUCCAAAACACCACUUUUUUUUUUUUUUUUUUCUUUCAAAACACCACUUAUACACACAUUUAAACGCGAUCAAGUAAGCAAUCGCCACGUGAUCUGCCAUGACUGACGUAAUUGCAGCAAACUACGGGAGCCACAACGUGUCCGGCUUCAUAUCUCCGCUUGCAGCUCCUCCCCACCUGCACGCGGCUACUCUCGCCGAUCGGUUGCAUCCAGCCGCAGCCGAUGUCGAACACACCUAACAUGUUCUGGCAUAGGAGGCUAGUGUUCUGGCAUGAAAAUAAUGAAAAAUUAGCGUGAAAAAAAGAAUAUAAUCCUACAAAAUGCAGCGGGAUAAAGAAAACAUUGUGGGACCAACUAAAUUCUAAUGCAAAGAGGAGAUAUGACGAGAAAAUAAAGAGAAUCAAAGGACUCGAUCCUUACGAGCAGAGCGACUGGUCAAGAUGCAGAAGAUCGCGACUGCAGAUACGAUCAACAGAGAUCCAGCAGCCGCUGCAGAGAUCAACACUAUCAGAGAGACAGAGUCUGGAGGAUAAGAAGGAGAGGAUGAACAAAAGAGAGACGUCAGUGUUCAGGUCUGUCUGCGGCUGCUGUAGCAGAGAUUGGUGGUGUUGAUCUUCUGCUGGUGGCUGCAGUUGCAGUUUUAGUUGCUCUUGUGAUUCACUAUCGCCGCAAGGUCUUUGAACUAGAAAGACGUUCAGGUAAGUAUCACCCGUACAGUUCAUGUAAUAUGGGAAAAACUAAAAGCUUGGUUACCAUUAAGACAAUAACAGAAGAAGGGGAGAAACAGAAGUACUGAGAGCUGUGUCUCUGUAGAAAAUGCAAAUUUAACACAGUUUCUGCAGAUGAUAGAGUUUGAUCUCUUUAAUAUGUCUGGGUUUGUAGGAGUAUGAUGUACCUGCUUCAUAAUGGUGUUAUUGAAGAUAGUCAAUAUUAAACAGCUUUACAAAUCAGUAAACAUUUUUCAUCUCUAAACAACAUUACAAAAAAAGAAAACAGUGAGUAUUGAAGACAGCACUGACCUUGUGCUUUUUUAAAAUCAAAGAGCAAACCGUGUCAUUCUGAACAUACUUUGAAAAGGAAAAGUCAUGUAUUACCCGAAGCUAACCUAAAAAAAACUUAGACGUCCCAAUGACCAGGUGAUGACGCUGACCCCAGACAGCAUGAGGAGAUCCCUCAGCAGGAUCAACGCACGCAAAGCUCUGGGUGUGUACUGAGAGACUGUGCAUCACAGACAUUUUCAACAUCUCACUAAGUCAGGCUGUUGUCCAAACAACUCCAACCUCUUCAUUAAGUUUGCAGAUGACAAACGGGUCUCAUUAGCUACAGAGAUGAGACAAACUACAGGAGCGAGGUGAGCUACCUGGCCAGGUGGUGCAGUGAAAACUAUCUCUCUCUGAACGUGGAGAAGAUGAAGAAGAUUGUUGUUGACUUCAGGAGAGUGCAGCUGAUACUCCUGCUCCACUGACCAUCAACAGUGUGACUGUGGAGAGAGUGAGCAGGACCAAGUUCCUUUGUGUGCACAUCACAGAGGAUCUCUCCUGGACUGAAAACACCGCAGCACUGGCCAAAAAAUCACAGCAGCAUCUCUACUUCCUCCGCAAACUGAGUAGAGCCAGAGCCCCGGCCCCCAUCAUGUACACCUUCUACAGAGGCACCAUCAAGAGCAUCCUGUCGAGCUGCAUCACUGUGUGGUAUGCCGCCUGCUAGGACUGCACAAUGUGUCGUUUAAGCAUCGAUAUCGCAAUGUACAAAUCCACGAUAGUCACAUCGCAGGAUGUGCGAUGUAGGCUCUUGUAGUUUAUCUGUUAUUCAUUAACUGUACGGGCCAGCUGCUCCCGGCCCUUGACAAAUGUGAUUCGCGGAUUAAUUGCACAGCUUAACCAUCAGCGAGUGAAAUUUUAUCAUUGACAGGACUGAAAACCACAUGUAAGUUUAACAGGGCAGAGAGAGAGAGAGUGCGA